rnacentral:rRNA from 1 species
GACGAACGCUGGCGGCGUGCUUAACACAUGCAAGUCGAACGGGCCUUGUCCCCUUUUUUUUUGGGGGUGGGGUUAGUGGCGAACGGGUGAUUAACACGUGAGUAACCUGCCCCUCACUUCUGGAUAACCGCUUGAAAGGGUGGCUAAUACGGGGUGUUCUGGCCUGCUCGCAUGGGUGGUUUUGGAAAGAUUCGACCGGUUUUGGUGGUUUUGGUGGGGGAUGGGCUCGCGGCCUAUCAGCUUGUGGGUGGGGUGAUGGCCUGCCAAGGCUUUGACGGGUAGGCGGCCUGAGAGGGUGGGCGGUCACACUGGGACUGAGACACGGCCCAGACUCCUACGGGAGGCAGCAGUGGGGAAUAUUGCACAAUGGGCGCAAGCCUGAUGCAGCGACGCCGCGUGAGGGAUGGAGGCCUUCGGGUUGUGAACCUCUUUCGCCAGUGAAGAAGGUCCUGCUCUUUGUGGUGGGGUUGACGGUAGCUGGGUUAAUGAAGCGCCGGCUAACUACGUG